UACGGAGGGGGCUAGCGUUUUUCGGAAUCACUGGGCGUAAAGCGCACGUAGGCGGGUCAGCAAGUCAGGGGUGAAAUCCCGGGGCUCAACCUCGGAACUGCCUUUGAAACUGCUGGCCUGGAGGUCGAGAGAGGUGAGUGGAAUUCCUAGUGUAGAGGUGAAAUUCGUAGAUAUUAGGAAGAACACCAGUGGCGAAGGCGGCUCACUGGCUCGAUUCUGACGCUGAGGUGCGAAAGCGUGGGGAGCAAACAGG
rnacentral:rRNA from 1 species